CGCAUCGAGCUGCACCUAAUUCCGGAACGAAAUAAUAACAAGCUGAGAAACGGCGUAACUUACCGGAACCGAAAUUGUUGCGCGUAUGUUCGAAGACGUCGAUGUAAUCGUUUUCUAAGUUUAUAGUCGUUUCAAAAGCGAGUGACGGCGUUCGGCAAACAUGGCCAAGCAUCAUCCGGAUUUGAUCUUCUGUCGCAAGCAACCGGGAGUCGCCAUCGGUCGGCUGUGCGAAAAAUGCGACGGCAAAUGCGUCAUUUGCGACUCCUACGUGAGGCCAUGCACUCUGGUUAGAAUAUGCGACGAGUGCAAUUACGGUUCUUAUCAGGGACGUUGCGUGAUAUGCGGUGGUCCCGGUGUAUCGGACGCGUACUACUGUAAAGAAUGCACGAUACAGGAAAAAGAUAGAGAUGGCUGUCCUAAAAUAGUCAAUUUGGGAAGCUCAAAGACAGACCUCUUCUAUGAGAGGAAAAAAUAUGGAUUCAAGAGAAGAUAAUUAUACUUUUCCUAUAUAGAACUUGUCCUAUGUAUAAUAUUACAGGAGCACCAGCCUCGUAUCGGACCAUCUGGAGUCUGUAAUACCCGUCUUCGUCUUGCGUAUAGUGAAAACGUUUGUGUCCGCUGGGCAGUUGCAAUCGAUGAGCUUCGGUAAGAUGUUUCGUCAGCCUAUAACUCUUCCGAUAUUUGAUCGGGCAUUCGUGGCAACAGUACCAUCGCACCGCUAAACUGUGUACUCGUUCUACAUGCCUGUAAUGUAUUUAACAAUCGUCAAAUAAAGAAGUCUUUAUUAAAAAA